AACGAACGCUGGCGGCAGGCCUAACACAUGCAAGUCGAGCGAGUACUUCGGUUCUAGCGGCGGACGGGUAAGUAACACGUGGAUAACCUACCUAUAAGACUGGGAUAACUGCGGGAAACCGUAGCUAAUGCCGGAUAAUAUUUUGAACCGCAUUGAUCGAAAGUGAAAGACGGUCUUGCUGUCACUUAUAGAUGGAUCCGCGUGGCAGUAGCUAGUUGGUAGGGUAACGGCCUACCAAGGCAACGAUGCAUAGCCGACCUGAGAGGGUGAUCGGCCACACUGGAACUGAGACACGGUCCAGACUCCUACGGGAGGCAGCAGUAGGGAAUCUUCCGCAAUGGGCGAAAGCCUGACGGAGCAAUGCCGCGUGAGUGAUGAAGGUCUUCGGAUCGUAAAACUCUGUUAUUAGGGAAGAACAUAUGUGUAAGUAACUGUGCACAUCUUGACGUUACCUAAUCAGAAAGCCCCGGCUAACUACGUG
rnacentral:rRNA from 1 species